rnacentral:misc_RNA from 1 species
AAGUCGUAACAAGGUUUCCGUAGGUGAACCUGCGGAAGGAUCAUUAUCGAUGUUUGAGAAGGGGGUUGAGAGUGGGGGACUGUCGCUGGCUUUCUCUUCAGGAGAGCAUGUGCACGUCUCUUGCUUUUCUGUCAACCUCUCUUGCUCACUCACUCACACCUGUGCACCUAUUGUAGGUCCUCGAAAGAGGAUCUAUGUUUUUUUCACAUCACACCUAUCAUAUGUCUAGAAUGCAUUUGAACACUUGUCGAUCAGGUUUGUCCUGGUUGACCAAGGUCAAUAAAACUAUACAACUUUCAGCAACGGAUCUCUUGGCUCUC